rnacentral:rRNA from 1 species
GACGAACGCUGGCGGCGUGCCUAACACAUGCAAGUCGAACGGAAAGGCACUGCUUUUGUGCGGUGCUCGAGUGGCGAACGGGUGAGUAACACGUGAGCAACCUGCUCUUGACUUUGGGAUAACUUCACGUAACUGGGGUUAAUCUCGGAUAGGAGCCCCUGCUGCAUGGUGGGCGUUGGAACGUCUCGGCGGUCGGGGAUGGACUCGCGGGUUAUCAGCUUGUUGGUGGGGUAGUGGAUUACCCAGGCUUUGACGGGUAGCCGGCCUGGGAGGGUGGCCGGGCACAAUAGGACUGAGGUACGGCCCAGACGCCAACGUGAGACAAAAGUGGGGAAUAUGACACAAUGGGCCGGAGCCUGAUGCGACGGCGCCGCGGUCGUAAAGACGGCCUGCGGGGUGUGAACCGCAGUCGCCUGUGACGAAGCGGUAGUGACGGUAAUGAAUAAAGAAGCACCGGCUAAGUACGUG